rnacentral:rRNA from 1 species
GACCCAGGUCAGGCGGGACUACCCGCUCAAUUUAAGCAUAUCACUAAGGGGAGGAAAAGAAACUUACAAGGAUUCCCUUAGUAACGGCGAGCGAACCGGGAAGAGGCCAGCUUGAUAAUCGGUCACCCUCGGCAUCUGAAUUAUAGUCUGGAGAAGCGUCCUCAGUGACGGACUAGGCCCGAGUCCCCUAGAAAGGGGCGCCGUAGAGGGUGAGAGCGCCGUCGUGCCUGGACCCUGUCGCACCAUGAGGCACUGUAUACGAGUCGGGUUGUUUUGGAAUACAGCCCUAAUCGGGCGAUAAAUUCCGUCCAAGGCUAAAUACGGGUGAGAGACCGAUAGCGAAAUAGUACUGCGAGGGAAAGAUGAAAAGGACUUUGAAAAAAGAGUCAAAGAGUGCUUGAAAUUGUUGGGAGGGAAUCGGAUGGGGGCCGGUGAUGCCCCCAGUCGGAUGUGGAAUGGCGAUAGCCGGUCCGUCGAUCGACUCUUGGCGUGAACCGACGCAGAUCGUUGUGGCGGCCCAAGCCCAGGCCUUUGAUAUGCCCGCGGAGACGUCUUCACCUCGAUCGUGGAACCCAGCACGCGUCGUCUCUACAUGCUUCAAUAACGGCGUGCUCAGAGAGUCGGCCUACGGGCUCUCCAUCCGCCCCUUCAUGAAACACGGACCAAGGAGUCUGACAUGUGUGCGAGUCAACGGGCAAAAAACUCGUAUGGCGCAAGGAAGCUGAUUAGCGGGAUCCUUCAUGGGUGCACCGCCGAUCGACCUUGAUCUUCUGAGAAGAGUUCGAGUGAGAGCAUGCCUGUCGGGUUUCGAAAGAUGGUGAACUAUACCUGAGUGGGGCGAAGCCAGAGAAAACUCUGGUGGAGGCCCACAGCGAUACUGACGUGCAAAUCGUUCGUCUGACUUGGGUAUAGGGGCAAAAGACUAAUCAACUUAUCUAGUAGCUAGUUCCCUCUAAAGUUUCCCUCAGGAUAACUGGAGCCCUUAGCGAGUUCUAUCGGGAAAAGCCAAUGAUUUGAGGCAUCGGGGGCGCAACGCCCUCAACCUAUUCUCAAACUUUAAAUAGGUAGGACGGCGCAACUACUUCAUUGAGCCGGACCACGGAAUCAAGAGCUCCAAGUGGGCCAUUUUUGGUAAGGAAAACUGGCGAUGCAGGAUAAACCGGAUGUUGGGUUACGGUGCCCAACUACGCGCUAACUUAGAAAACACAAAGGGUGUUUACCGAUUAAGACAGCAUGACGGUGGUCAUGGAAGUCGAAAUCCGCUAAGGAGUGUGUAACAACUCACCUGCCAAAUCAACUAGCCCCAAAAAUAGAUGGCACUUUAGUGCGUGACCUAUACUCGGCCGUCGGGGCAAGGGCCAGGACCCGAUGAGUAGAAGGACACAGCAGUCACCGUAAAACCCAUGCCGUGAUACCGGGCGGAGCGGCCGUCGGUGCAGAUCUUGGUGGUAGUAGCAAAUAGUCAUAUGAGAACUUUAAAGGUCAAAGAGGGGAAAGGUUCUAUGUGAACGAUACUUGCUUAUGGGUUAGUCGAUCCUAAGAGACGGGGGAAGCCCGUCUGAUAGCGCGUUCGCGCGAGUUUCGAAAGGGAAUCGGGUUAAAAUUCUUGAACCGGGACGCGGUAGCUGACGACAACGUUAGGGGGUCCAGAGACGUCGGUGGGGGCCUCGAUAAGAGUUAUAUUUUCUGUUUAACGGCCUGCCCUCCUUGGAAACGGCUCAGCCAUAUGUAGGUUCCAGCGGCCGGAAGAGCACUGCACGUCGCGUGGUGUACGGUGCACCCCCGGCGGCCCUUGAAAAUCUGGAGGACCGAGUGUCGUCCGCGCCCAGUCGUUUUUAUAACCGCAUCAGGUCUCCAAGGUGAACAGCCUCUAGUCGAUGGAAUAAUGUAGGCAAGGGAAGUCGGCAAAAUGUAUCUGUAACCUCGGGAAAAAGAUUAGCUUUGAGGGAUGGGCACAAGGGUCCCAUUCCCGAACCCGUCGGCUGCCAGUGCACUGUUCGCGGGUCGCCGCGUGUCGGCCGGAGGACGGACUUGGAACGGCUCCUUCGAGGGCCUUCCCCGGGCGGCGAACAGUCGACUCAGAACUGGUACAGACAAGGGGAAUCUGACUGUUUAAUUAAAACAAAGCAUUGCGAUGGUCCCUGCAGAUGCUCACGUAAUGUGAUUUCUGCCCAGUGCUCUGAAUGUCAAAGUGAAGAAAUUCAACCAAGGGCAGGUAAAUGGCGGGAGUAACUAUGACUCUCUUAAGGUAGCCAAAUUCCUCAUCAUCUAAUUAGUGAUGCACAUUAAUAGAUUAACGAGAUUCCCACUGUCCCUGUCUACUAUCCAGCGAAACCAUAGCCAAGGGAACGGGCUUGGCAGAAUCAGCGGGGAAAUAAGACCCUGUUCAGUUUGACUCUAGUCUGACUUUUUGAAAUAACUUGAGAGGUGUAGGAUAAGUGAGUGCUCUCGGGCGAAAUAGAAAUACCACUACUUUUAACGUUAUUUUACUUAUUCCGUGAUUCAGAAACGGGGCACAACCCCUCUUUUUGGACCCAAGGUCGGCUUCUGUCGGUCGAUCCGGGUGGAAGACAUUUUCAGGUGGAGAGUUUGGCUGGGGCGGCACAUCUGUUAAAGGAUAACGCAUGUGUCGUAAGAUGAACUCAACGAGAACAUAAAUCUCGUGUGGAACAAAAGGGUAAAAGCUCGUUUGAUUCUGAUUUCCAGUACGAAUACGAACCGUGAAAGUGUGGCCUAUCGAUCCUUUAGACCUUCAGAAUUUGAAGCUAGAGGUAUCAGAAAAGUUACCACAUGGAUAACUGGCUUGUGGCAGCUAAGCGUUCAUAGCGACGUUGCUUUUUGAUCCUUCGAUGUUGGCUCUUCCUAUCAUUGUGAAGCAAAAUUCAACAAGUGUUGGAUUAUUCACCCACCAAUAGGGAACGUGAGCGGGUUUAGACUGUCGUGAGACAGGUUAGUUUUACCGUACUGAUGGUGGCGGCGUAAUAGUAAUUCAACCUAGUACGAGAGGAACCGUUGAUUCAAACAAUAGGUCAUCGCGCUUGGUUAAAAAGCCAGUGGCGCGAAGCUAUCGUGCGCUAGAUUAUGACUGAAUGCCUCUAAGUCAGAAUCUGGGAUAGAAGCAACGAUUGCACCUAUCGCCCGAUUAUUGACCCGCAAUAGGGCCCCCGGCCCUUAAGGUCACGAGUCGUGGGUGCAGCGCGCGCAUCGAGCAAGUCACACGUGGCUCCC